GCGCAGGAAAAGAAACCAACAGGGAUUGCCCCAGUAACGGCGAGUGAAGCGGCAACAGCUCAAAUUUGAAAUCUGGCUCUCGGGCCCGAGUUGUAAUUUGUAGAGGAUGCUUUUGGCGAGGUGCCUUCUGAGUUCCCUGGAACGGGACGCCAGAGAGGGUGAGAGCCCCGUAUAGUCGGACACCUAGCCUCUGUAAAGCUCCUUCGACGAGUCGAGUAGUUUGGGAAUGCUGCUCAAAAUGGGAGGUAUAUCUCUUCUAAAGCUAAAUAUAGGCCAGAGACCGAUAGCGCACAAGUAGAGUGAUCGAAAGAUGAAAAGCACUUUGAAAAGAGGGUUAAAUAGCACGUGAAAUUGUUGAAAGGGAAGCGCUUGUGACCAGACUUGUGCCGGGCUGAUCAUCCACCGUUCUCGGUGGUGCACUCGACCCGGCUCAGGCCAGCGUCGGUUCUCGUAGGGGGAUAAAAGCUUCGGGAACGUGGCUCCUUCGGGAGUGUUAUAGCCCGCUGCUUAAUACCCUUGUGGGGACCGAGGUUCGCGCUCUGCAAGGACGCUGGCAUAAUGGUCAUCAGCGACCCAUCUUGAAACACGCACCAAGGAGUCAAGGUUUUUCACGAGUGUGUGCCUGUAAAACAAUCACGCAUAAUGAAAGUGAACGUACGUGAGAGCUACUUUGCGGCAAUCCACCGAUCGUUUAUUUUCUCGUGAUGGAAAGGAUAUACAACGCACCCGCGGGGCAUAGCAAGCUUAUCUUCUGAAACGGGGCGUUAUAUUAUAACAAGGUGUGGGGAGAGUGACACCCCCCGCGACAAAAUUCGUGUAUAUGUGGAGGAGUGGAGCUAUGCGUAACGUA
rnacentral:rRNA from 1 species